CCCCUACACAACUCCCAGAAACAAAACCGCCUAACUUCGUGGCUCCAGUGGAAUCUCUCAGUUUGAUGUCAUGAAGUGGAAAUGGCCAAAGAUCCAGUAAGAAUGAUGUAAAGACACGGAAUCACAGCUCUGUGAGGGCCAGAGCUAUGGAAAUCGGAGGAAAUUGGACUUCACCGUGUUGGUGGCACACCCUGCCACCCUUGCCAGGAAAGGAAACGGGAAAAGGAAUCUGAGAAACCUCAGGACAAUUACAGUUCAUUUCCAUACCCUGACUGACAAUGUACUACCUCCUGCUACGGACCGACGUAAGCCUCUUGUCACACCAAGCUCUUAGGCAAAUGGAAUGGGACCAGAUGCAAGCGAUUUAAUAAGAACUUUGCAUAAGUAAUUAUUUAGUUAUUGAUUGUUGCUUGGAGCUGUAUCAUUCUGAAUGGUUCAAAAGCUUGCAUCCUAAACUAAGGUAAGUAAAGAGAAGUUGGAUGCUCAAGGUAGUAAAAAGAGGCUGAAUUUUUUUUUUUGGCAUUUAUUGAGUUAAUUGUUUUUCUUUUUCCUUAACAUACACUGAGUAGUUAUAUAAUAUAAAAAGCUCCUUUUCAUAUCCCUCAAUGUGUACUCGGACUCCACAUAUAGAAUACCCCCUCCCCUCCAAAAAAAUUCAGUCGGUGCCAAAAUCUACAUUUUCAUUUGGCGAACUAGUUAAAUCUAUUCAUAAUCUGGUGCCUGAAUCAAAUUUCAGAGCCGACUAGACUGCCUUGGCUCCUGGUUUUUGUUUCUCGACCUGUCUCCGACUGAAUUUAGCUAUGAUGUUACAUCUUUAGCUGUAGAAUUUCUAAUAAGAGUGGCCUGUUUUCCUUUGCCGCUGAGGGGCUCCUACACAAGACUCAGCAUUUCCAAGCAGGGGCCCUUUGGAGCCACUGUGGAGCAUUCUCUGGAAAGAAACUCCUUGUUUCUUUAACUUUUUUCCUCUUUUUUUUCUCUAAAUGUUCACUUUAAUGGCUCUCACACUACAUAAAACUCAUGUAUUCUGCAGUGAAUAAAUUUUGCAGACAAUGUUGUCAAGAAUCAGGAGAGAAAGCACGGAGAUCUCAGGAUUUAGUUGUAAAGACGUGAAGGAUUUUUCUAUUUGUGAGAUGGCAAGCAUGUGUGAAGACCGAGCAGGAGCGGACUAUGAGGCUCUGAAAGCUAGAAGGAAUAUUCGGGAAUAUUCAGAAGAAAGAUUGUUGUUAAGACUAUUGAUAAACGAAAAGGUCUCCAACACAAUAUGGGAACAUUGUUAAUACGUUUAUGUAAAAAAAAAAAUCUAAGUAAAUAUGGCAGUUUAAAAAAUGAAGUAA
rnacentral:lncRNA from 1 species